UACGUAGGGUGCGAGCGUUAAUCGGAAUUACUGGGCGUAAAGGGUGCGCAGGCGGCGUCGCAAGUCAGGCGUGAAAUCCCCCGGGCUUAACCUGGGAACUGCACUUGAACUACGAUGCUGGAGUAUGGCAGAGGGAGGUGGAAUUCCGACGUGUAGCGGUGAAAUGCGUAGAGAUGUGGAGGAACACCGAUGGCGAAGGUAGUCUCCUGGGCCAAUACUGACGCUCAUGCACGAAAGCGUG
rnacentral:rRNA from 1 species